rnacentral:rRNA from 1 species
UACGUAGGGAGCAAGCGUUGUUCGGAUUUACUGGGCGUAAAGGGCGCGUAGGCGGCAAAUUAAGUCAGCUGUGAAAUCUCCGAGCUUAACUCGGAACUGUCAGCUGAUACCUGAUCUGCUAGAGUGCGGAAGGGGCAUCGGAAUUCUUGGUGUAGCGGUGAAAUGCGUAGAUAUCAAGAGGAACACCUGAGGUGAAGACGGGUUGCUGGGCCGACACGUGACGCUGAGUGCGCGAAAGCCAGGGG